rnacentral:rRNA from 1 species
CCUACGGGAGGCAGCAGUGGGGAAUAUUGGGCAAUGGGCGCAAGCCUGACCCAGCAACGCCGCGUGAAGGAAGAAGGCUUUCGGGUUGUAAACUUCUUUUAUCAGGGACGAAACAAAUGACGGUACCUGAUGAAUAAGCCACGGCUAACUACGUGCCAGCAGCCGCGGUAAUACGUAGGGAGCGAGCGUUGUCCGGAAUUACUGGGUGUAAAGGGAGCGUAGGCGGGGAUGCAAGUUGGGUGUCAAAACUACCGGCUCAACUGGUAGUCGCACUCAAAACUGCAGCUCUUGAGUGAAGUAGAGGG